CGACUAAAGGAGGUGCUCCAGCAUGGCCACAGUCAAAUGACUGAAACGAGUAAAAGAGUAAAGAGAGACUACACACUCAAUCGCCAAUCGUUCAUAAAAUCUUAAUACAGUUCAGCAAGAAGUAACACUAGAGGACUACCAUGUGUUUACAAACUCAAGAUGAUGGUGUGGAAUUUGUGAUGGAAAGUUUUUUUCUACAGUUAGAGUCUUUAGAAAAUCCACAUGAGCCAGCAUAGAGAAAUGAAAAGAACAUUCCACUCAUACUAAGCAACUGUAUGCCUACUUUUUACCCACUGCUAUAUUUAGACCUAGAUCAGAUCUUUGAUCUCCGGUCACAUGAACUUUAGUCACGACCAUGCCAUCCUAUGCUAGGAUAUCUUCAGUGGCAAUGUUUUGACACAUCAUGUGAUCUGUUAGCUAAUUAACUAAAGUCAACCUGGCGAAACAAAAGCUCUUCAGCGGAGUUAGAGUGUGAGAAAAAAAAAAAAAAA
rnacentral:lncRNA from 1 species